AACGGUUCUUACUUUUCAUUUAAUACCAUCACUUAUAGUAAAUACAGACGGCGGUAGUAGUAGUACUUAGUACACUUGUGACCCAAUAAAGCCGCAAUAAUACGCUCUACAAGUACAUCAUCACAGCAAUCAUCAUCACCACCCAAAGCCAUGACUCAUCAUAAAGAUGUGCGCUACUCUGAUUACCGUUCUUGGUAGCAUUAGUAUCGGGUGAUAUGUUAAACUGUACUUGUUGCAAUGUGCUUAGUAGGUGCAUGCGCCAUGCAGGAGUAGUGGAUAAUUCGAUAAUUCAGCAGCCGGCGGCAUCUCCUGCGGCUAGAAAAGCAUGCUAAACAAUUAUCAAAUCUCCGUAGCACCAUAGAAAGGCACGAUAUCCAUAUUACUUAUAACUAGUGACUACCGAUGACAAGAACGAACGACCGGCAACAUCUGAACAUAUAGCGAAGCAAAGUAUUUGGAACCUGCAACGGUUGACGACGGUUCAACAAAUAGUCUAGAAAUGUUAUGCACAAGCAUGAUGG
rnacentral:sRNA from 1 species